rnacentral:sRNA from 1 species
GAAUAAUUAAAAAUAAUUAAAUUAAACAGAAUUAAAUUAAAUUAAACUUAAAUAAAUGUCUUUUGCACUUUGAACGGUUGUGUCUUUUAAUCGCAACUUUCUGUAAAAAAUAUUGACGGUUGUUUUUUCUCGCUUGUGUCUUUUAUUGCAACUUUCCUAUAUUGUAAUUUUCUGUCAAAAUAUUUACGGUUAUUUUUUCUGGUUAGUUAUAUAUAUACUAUUGAAUAAUUACGAAAUUUAUAAUAUGCAUCAUUUGGAGUUAC